UACGAAGGGGGCUAGCGUUGCUCGGAAUUACUGGGCGUAAAGGGAGCGUAAGCGGAUCGUUUAGUCAGGGGUGAAAUCCCGGGGCUCAACCUCGGAACUGCCUUUGAUACUGGCGAUCUUGAGUAUGGGAGAGGUGUGUGGAACUCCGAGUGUAGAGGUGAAAUUCGUAGAUAUUCGGAAGAACACCAGUGGCGAAGGCGACACACUGGCCCAUUACUGACGCUGAGGCUCGAAAGCGUGGGGAGCAAACAGG
rnacentral:rRNA from 1 species